GAUCCUGGCUACAGAACGAACGCCGGCGGCAGGCCUAACACAUGCAAGUCGAGCGAGCAUUUCGGUGCUAGCGGCGGACGGGUUAGUAACGCGUGGGAACGUGCCCUUUGCUACGGAAUAGUCCUGGGAAACUGGGGGUAAUACCGUAUGUGCCCUUCGGGGGAAAGAUUUAUCGGCAAAGGAUCGGCCCGCGUUGGAUUAGGUAGUUGGUGGGGUAAUGGCCUACCAAGCCGACGAUCCAUAGCUGGUUUGAGAGGAUGAUCAGCAACACUGGGACUGAGACACGGCCCAGACUCCUACGGGAGGCGGCAGUGGGGAAUCUUAGACAAUGGGCGCAAGCCUGAUCUAGCCAUGCCGCGUGGACGAUGAAGGCCUUAGGGUUGUAAAGUCCUUUCAGCUGGGAAGAUAAUGACGGUACCAGCAGAAGAAGCCCCGGCUAACUCCGUG
rnacentral:rRNA from 1 species